CAGGUGGUGACACUUGUCCAGCUCGGAAACUUUCCUUGGGAACCAGACUUCAUGGAGGACGGGAGGAAGGGGGAGCUGGGACAGAGGAACAGCCUCACCCUUGUUUUCCCCGGCACCACGCACGUCCUCUGCCACCCGGCGCACGGAGCUGAGCAGGGAGGGCAGGUCGGCACUGGGCACCUCGCAGCGCACAAAGUACUCCAGCUCUGGAGCCACGCAGUCAUCGCAGGAGCUUGAGAGGAAUCUGGCUGUAAUGUCAUUUGGGCACCUGUGCUGGGGGCCGGUCUCCUGCCUGUUGGCCUGGUGUGGCCAGAGCAGCCCCUGCAGUCAGCCUGCCACGUUAGCCAGCCGGAGCCCAUGGGGACAGAGACCCCAAGGCCUGGACGGAGGAGGAGCUCAUGUCUGGGGCCUAUCCCUCGGAGCUGAACUUCCAAGAAGGUUCUGGUGGCCUCGGGUUUGGAACAUGGUGGGGGGCAGGUGCCAGGAAGGCCUUCUCGGAGCCCCUACUCGACCUCGGGGUGUGGACAGAGCCAGGGCCGCAGCCCCAGGCUGGGAGGACCCCUGGACCUCCACAGGGGGCUCGACCCCAUAAGGCCCCAGGGAGGUACCUGCAGGCUAAAUUCCUGGAGUACUCAAACCACAUUCUCAU